CCCUUAGAUGUUCUGGGCCGCACGCGUGCUACACUGAGUGGAUCAGCGGGUCAGGUUGCGCGAAAGCGUUUCCUAAUCUUUAAAUCCGCUCGUGAUGGGGAUUGACGGUUGCAAUUUUCUGUCAUGAACGAGGAAUACCUUGUAAGCGCGGGUCAUCAUCCCGCGCUGAAUACGUCCCUGCCCUUUGUACACACCGCCCGUCGCUCCUACCGAUUGAGUGGUCCGGUGAAGCCUCGGGAUUGUGGUUCUUGCCGCUUUGUUGUGGCGUGACCGCGAGAACUUGUCUAAACCUUAUCAUCUAGAGGAAGGUGAAGUCGUAACA
rnacentral:rRNA from 1 species